GACCGACCUAAAGACCUCAAAACUAAAAAAUCCCCUACCCCGAGGUCCGAGACCAGUCCGAACUCAAGGCUGAAAUCCCGAGUCCCCCGUGCCGCACCAGCUGCUCACCGGCUCACCCCCUCUCGUCCGGUCGUCCCUCCCUCUGAAAUCCCGAGUCCCCCUGCGCCGCUCACCCCUCUCGUCCGGUCGUCCCUCUGAAUUCCCAGGAGAGAUUGAUCUGAGCCUGACCUCGUUGAAUCUCAGGGAAAAUUUUCAGAAAGUCAUAAAAAGUUACCCACAGCAUCUUCCUGAAAGAGAUACCAUUUUGGAGCUUGGGUUCCAAAACUAAAAAGCGAUACGACGUUGCUUUUGUAAACUCGUCCUCACGGAAAUAAGGCACAGCUUUGCGUAGGUUAAAAAGUUGAUGGUGAACUUCGAUAGAUUGAGAAAACCACAAGCGCUGUGACUGAAAACAAUUUAAGGUGGUUUUCGAAUUUGGAAUAGAGAAUUUUCAUCUGGAAAAGUUGAAAUAGAAUAAAAAUAAGAGAGAGAGAGCGCGCGCGCUAAUGGAUUCAUCUUCAUCAAUGAUAACUCCAGAGGAUGUGUUGGAAUCGCUGAUGAAUGACGGUACAAUCGACACGCUCAGAUUGAAGAUCAUUAACCAGCUCAAAGCCAAUGAGGAGCUUAAGAAUACCACUAUCAAAAUGGCAGAACAGAGCAAAGUUCUUAACACUCCUGGAGCAGAGAAACAGACGAAAAGAGAGCUGUUUGAUGCACUAAGGCAGGAACUUGAAGCUCCAGUGCUUGAGAAGGCUUCUAAAUCAGUUUGGGACCUUAUUUUAGACAAUAAUGGGCUGGGGAAGGAAAUUAAUGAGAUGGUUGAAAAAGUAUUUUGUCGACUGAGCGGCCGGGAACCUCCUUUGUUUCCUUUGCCAGAUGGUGAGACUCGGCCUAAUAAAGAAACUCAGAAUGAGAAAGGAAAAGGAAAAGAAUUUGCAAAUGAAGACAACCCGGAGAAGGAGAAUUCUCCCUCUUUAUCAAAGAAAAGGAGUUUUAGUGAAAUGAAUGCAGAAGGAGGUGAAUAUGAAUCUGCAAGCAGAUCCGGUGAUCCUCCUGCCAUGCUGGAAGAGUCUAGUAAAUCACCUCAAGCAAGUUUGAAGACAUGAGUCAGUAUGUCAAUCGAGUUAGUCCAAGGUCGAUCGAGCUGGAGGGAUUUUGACAUGCAUCCUAUGUCAGUAUGCGAUAAUCCUCAAAGUGUGGUUGGCAAAGUGUUUCUGGAUAAAAUCAGAGCAGGUUAGAACAUUCUCGGUAAAGGGGCAUACUUUAUUGCUAGGGAUGGUAAUUCUGUUAUUAUCUGGAAGAUUAAUUGGAUUGUGGGGAGGAUCAGGGUAUAUUCUGCGAGGAGCUUGCAUGUUUUCCCGUCUUGAAGAGCUAUUUGACCUAAAUGUCAAAAACCUGUAGUUUUUUGGGAUGCUAUAGCUGAUGAUAGUUUAAAGUUAGAACUUUAUUUUUGUUCUCGUCAAUGAAUCAUAUCCAAGAACCCUAUUUUUGAUAAGAACUGUUUGUAUUGAAUGUUGGAUAAGAUUGGAAAUGGUGAUGAGGAUGGUAAU